rnacentral:rRNA from 1 species
CAGCAGCCACGGGAAUACAGAGGGUGCGAGCGUUAAUCGGAUUUACUGGGCGUAAAGCGUGCGUAGGCGGCUUUUUAAGUCGGAUGUGAAAUCCCUGAGCUUAACUUAGGAAUUGCAUUCGAUACUGGGAAGCUAGAGUAUGGGAGAGGAUGGUAGAAUCCCAGGUGUAGCGGUGAAAUGCGUAGAGAUCUGGAGGAAUACCGAUGGCGAAGGCAGCCCAUUGGCCUAAUACUGACGCUGAGGUACGAAAGCAUGGGGAGCAAACAGGAUUAGAUACCCGCGUAGUCCCUGUCUCUUAUAC